GCUACACAUGCAAGUCNAACGAUGAAAGAGAGCUUGCUCUCUGGAUUAGUGGCGAACGGGUGAGUAACACGUGAGUAACCUGCCCCUCACUCUGGGAUAAGCGUUGGAAACGACGUCUAAUACCGGAUACGAGCUUCAGCCGCAUGGCUAGGAGCUGGAAAGAAUUUUGGUGAGGGAUGGACUCGCGGCCUAUCAGGUAGUUGGUGAGGUAACGGCUCACCAAGCCGACGACGGGUAGCCGGCCUGAGGGGGUGACCGGCCACACUGGGACUGAGACACGGCCCAGACUCCUACGGGAGGCAGCAGUGGGGAAUAUUGCACAAUGGGCGAAAGCCUGAUGCAGCAACGCCGCGUGAGGGACGACGGCCUUCGGGUUGUAAACCUCUUUUAGUAGGGAAGAAGCGAAAGUGACGGUACCUGCAGAAAAAGCACCGGCUAACUACGUGCCAGCAGCCGCGGUAAUACGUAGGGUGCAAGCGUUGUCCGGAAUUAUUGGGCGUAAAGAGCUCGUAGGCGGGUUUGUCGCGUCUGCUGUGAAAUCCGGAGGCUCAACCUCCGGGCCUGUAG
rnacentral:rRNA from 1 species